AGCCCAAUGUGGAUUCGCCCUCCUACGGGUGGCUGCAGUGGGGAAUAUUGGACAAUGGGGGAAACCCUGAUCCAGCGACGCCGCGUGAGUGAAGAAGUAUUUCGGUAUGUAAAGCUCUAUCAGCAGGAAGAAAAUGACGGUACCUGAUAAGAAGCCCCGGCUAAUACGUGCCAGCAGCCGCGGUAAUACGUAGGGGGCAAGCGUUAUCCGGAUUUACUGGGUGUAAAGGGAGCGUAGACGGCACUGCAAGUCUGGAGUGAAAGCCCGGGGCUCAACCCCGGGACUGCUUUGGAAACUGUGGUGCUAGAGUGCAGGAGAGGUAAGUGGAAUUCCUAGUGUAGCGGUGAAAUGCGUAGAUAUUAGGAGGAACACCAGUGGCAGAAGGCGGCAUUACUGGACAUGUAACUGACGUUGAGGCUGAAAGCGUGGGGAGCAAACAGGAUAUAGAUACCCCAGUAGUACAAGGGCGAAUUCCACAGUG
rnacentral:rRNA from 1 species